rnacentral:rRNA from 1 species
CGGCGCACGGGUGAGUAACGCGUAUGCAACUUACCUAUCAGGAGGGGGAAACCCGGCGAAAGUCGGACUAAUACCGCAUGAAGCAGGGGCCCCGCAUGGGGAUAUUUGCUAAAGAUUCAUCGCUGAUAGAUAGGCAUGCGUUCCAUUAGGCAGUUGGCGGGGUAACGGCCCACCAAACCGACGAUGGAUAGGGGUUCUGAGAGGAAGGUCCCCCACAUUGGUACUGAGACACGGACCAA